UGUUGGGCAAGUUAUGGCUUUGGAGCAGGAUGCUGUUUAUGAGUGACAGUGAGUUUAUUGAGGAUGUUUAUUUACCUGGUGAUCUGGGGCAAGAAACAAAGAAAUCUUUGUUUUCAAGACACUGAGAUGCUGUAGGGAUCAUGGUGUAGUUAUGUUAGGAAUGUACUUUAAGAAGAAUAAAUUGUGUCUUGGCUAAAGGGAAACCCAGAAUACAUACAUUGCCAUGCCACAGUAUCAGCUAUAUCAGCUGAGGCUCUGAGUCACCACAUACAAAAGUAAAAGAAAACCGCUUUCCAACCAAAAAAAAAAAAAAAAAAAAAAAAAAAAGGUGCCAUAGGAAGGGAAGAAUGAAGGCAAUGAGUUGUGGAAAUUUGACUGCUCUUUUCUGGUGCACUGAGCUCAUCCCACAGCUCAGGUACAGACAGGUUCAUUUCAGGACUGCAGGAGGUGACACACAGCAGAGAUUCCCCUUCAGGCUCCUGAGAUGUGCUUGCCACUUUGUAUGUCAGAACACAAAAGCAACUGUUUAUGACCACAUUCCUGGAGAGAAAAGCAACCUUUUCAAAUUUGAUAAAGACCCAUUGUGAGUUCCCUAUCAAUGCCAGGAGCUACAUGGAAAUUCAAAGACUUUUAUCACUUUCUAGUGUGGUCCAAAUAGAUAGUGGUACAUCACAGUCAACAAAAUCAUCUACAGUAUCAUCCAGGCUUCACAGGUGUGGAGAGAAAAAAUAAGCAGUCAGGGAACCAUUAUAAUAUUUUUAUUUUAUUUUGCAUGGUCUCACACUGGAUAUGUUCUGUUUUAGUGGGGUGGGGGAGAGACACAGAGGUGGCUGGAUCAGGAGUUGGGAAUUAAUUAUUUUUAAAUUAACCAUAAAAAACUUUUGUUUGGGAUUAUACUAGACUGGUUUUGUGUUUCUUCUCCACUCCAUUGCUAACUAAUUGUACAGUAACUUUGGAAAGAAAAAGUUCUAAAUUUUAUCAUAACAUAACCCUAAAAAAUAUUUUCACUUAUGAAUUUUCUUCUAAAGAAGUUUUACAGGUCAUUUGGCAUAGAGAUCCAUUCAGAAACAAUAUCUGCUUCCCCACCCACAGCAAUACCAAAAAGCCAUAUCACAUGAAAUAUCAGUUCUCUUCACUCACAGUGUCUGCCAGCUAAAUUCACUCAAACUGUGAGAAAACUUGGGUCAAAUUCCAAGAUCCCACAUUUAAAACCUUGGUGAUGCAAACCAUUGAUCAGAAGAAAAAUCCUCUAACCAUAUGAAUGUAUUCUUUUGUCAGCAGAUUUAUUUUCACACACUUUUAUUAGAUGUUAUUCAAGGGAACUCCUAAUGUCAAUAAUAAAUACUGAGGAAAA